rnacentral:misc_RNA from 1 species
GAUGAAGAACGCAGCGAAAUGCGAUAAGUAAUGUGAAUUGCAGAAUUCAGUGAAUCAUCGAAUCUUUGAACGCACCUUGCACCCUUUGGCAUUCCGAAGGGUAUGCUCGUUUGAGUGUCAUUGUACUCUCACACUUCUGAUCCUUUGGAUUGGGAGCGGUGGACUUGGGUGUUGCUGCUUUACUGUGGCUCACCUCAAAUGCAUUCGUGCAACUCUUGGUUGGACAUAGUACGGCGUGAUAAGUAUCUUCGCCGGCACCUCGCAAGAGGGUGGCUGAUCAGGAGCUCUGUGCUUUCCAGCUGUCUUCAGACAACAACUGACAACUUGACCUCAAAUCGAGUAGGACCACCCGCUGAACUUAAGCAUAUCAAUAAGCGGAGGA